UACGAAGGGGGCGAGCGUUGUUCGGAUUUACUGGGCGUAAAGGGCGCGCAGGCGGUUCUGUUUGUCGAGUGUGAAAGCCCCGGGCUCAACCUGGGAACUGCGCUCGAAACGGCGGAACUAGAGUUCGGGAGAGGAGAGUGGAAUUCCCAGUGUAGAGGUGAAAUUCGUAGAUAUUGGGAAGAACACCGGUGGCGUAGGCGGCUCUCUGGACCGAUACUGACGCUGAGGCGCGAAAGCGUGGGGAGCAAACAGG
rnacentral:rRNA from 1 species